rnacentral:misc_RNA from 1 species
AAGUCGUAACAAGGUUUCCGUAGGUGAACCUGCGGAAGGAUCAUUAGAGAAUGGAGCGAGUGCGCAAGCAUGAGCUUUUAUACAUCUAUAAAACACCUGUGCACCUUUGCCCUUGGGCAAUCUAUAACAAACAUGUAACAGUCUUGAACGUAACUUAUUAUAAUAUAACACAACUUUCAACAACGGAUCUCUUGGCUCUC